rnacentral:rRNA from 1 species
GACGAAGGGAGCGAGCGUUAUCCAUAAUGACUGGGCGUAAAGGGUUCGUAGGUGGUUUUGUAAUGUUACAUAUGAAAGCCCAAACAAAACUUUGGAAGGAUUUGUUAGACUACAAAACUUCGAGGAAAAAAAAGGAAAGUAGAAUUUUGCAAGGAGGGAUGGUAUCUUAAGAUAUGCAAAGGAAUAUCAGUUUGCACAGGCAACUUUCUAGUUUUUUACUGACAUUGAGGAACUUAAAGUGUGGGGAGCAAACAGG